rnacentral:tRNA from 1 species
GGAGAGGUGCCAGAGUGGCCGAAUGGGACACGGUGCUAACGUGUUGUCUCGGAAACGGGACCGUGGGUUCGAAUCCCACCCUCUCCGCCA